GACGAACGCUGGCGGCGUGCUUAACACAUGCAAGUUGAACGGAAAGGCCCUGCUUUUGUGGGGUGCUCGAGUGGCGAACGGGUGAGUAACACGUGAGUAACCUGCCCUUGACUUUGGGAUAACUUCAGGAAACUGGGGCUAAUACCGGAUAGGAGCUCCUGCCGCAUGGUGGGGGUUGGAAAGUUUCGGCGGUUGGGGAUGGACUCGCGGCUUAUCAGCUUGUUGGUGGGGUAGUGGCUUACCAAGGCUUUGACGGGUAGCCGGCCUGAGAGGGUGACCGGCCACAUUGGGACUGAGAUACGGCCCAGACUCCUACGGGAGGCAGCAGUGGGGAAUAUUGCACAAUGGGCGGAAGCCUGAUGCAGCAACGCCGCGUGCGGGAUGACGGCCUUCGGGUUGUAAACCGCUUUCGCCUGUGACGAAGCGUGAGUGACGGUAAUGGGUAAAGAAGCACCGGCUAACUACGUG
rnacentral:rRNA from 1 species